UAGCGGAGAGGCUGGUGUUAUUCGCAUUGACUAGGGUGUAAAGGGUGCGAUGAGGUGGUUUAUUAAGUUUUCAAGGCAAAGGUUAAAGUAUAAAGUUUAAAAGCCUUUUUAAUACUAAUAGACGUAGAGUUUAUUGGGAGAUAGGCUGUACAUUAAGUGUAAAGGUGAAAUUUUUCGAUAUUUAAAGGACAUGCAAUAGGCGAAGGCUGCUAUCUACUUUAAUACUGACACUGAGGCACAAAAGCAUGGGGAUCAAACAGG
rnacentral:rRNA from 1 species